rnacentral:pre_miRNA from 1 species
UAUUACAAAUUUCAAUCCAUUUGUACAUUUUAAAACCUGGCGUGGUUAACAGAAUAACCAGAUAAUGACAUGUGGUGUGCCAUGUGUUCCAGUUUUUAAUCGUAGAAAUGAAUGGAAUUUUUAACA